CAAUAGUUAAAUAUCCCAAUGGGCCUACUUUCUACAAAUACAUACUUUUGUAUAGAUAUUUUGGAUUCUAUAAAUGCUAUUAAAGUUAUGGUGUCAGCAUGCCUAACUUGGCUAAAGUUAAGUUUUAAUAUCUCAAUUCACUGUUUGCCAUAUUAAUUCUAUAUCUUCCAAAAAUGUAUUUAAAUCCUUGACAUAUAAAGCAUUUUCUCAGCCAACAUGAAUUUAUGAGCAAAUGUUUGAAAAAAAUUUAUACAAUUAAAUGUGCUAUUGUUACAAUGAUACAAAAAAGUUAAAGUUGGGAAAACACAUUUCAUGAUGAAUUGGCCAGUAGUGAUGUCCCGAACGAUUCGCCAAACGGUUCGCGAACGUUUAGCCGCGAACGGUUCGCCACGGACUCAUCAUUGAGUAAACUUUGACCCUGUACCUCACAGUCAGCAGACACAUUCCAGCCAAUCAGCAGCAGUCCCUCCCUCCCAGACCCUCCAACUUCC